CGUUGCACGCGCAUGGGCUUGAGGUGCGGAGCGGUCGGGAGAUGGCGGUGGCGCGGCGCCGUACUUGAGGAAGCUGACGACGACGUGAAUGGCAAGGCCGCCCUUCGCGUCUCUGUCUGUAAAGGUUGCGGGUUGUGCGGAAACCAUCGACGCGACGAGCGUAGACAGGUGUAUCCGUCAUUUGCCGCCGGAUUCCUUCCGCCUCAGCCAGGACCUUGUGUGCCCUUCUCUGAUGUUGUGAAAUGUUAACUCAUGCAUGCCGACAGCCGCCACCAUGCUCCAGCUGCCUCAGGCUUCAGGGUGAUGAAUUAGUCAAGCUAUUAAAUGGCAGCGACGUUCCUCACACACGCUUCCAAUGCAGAAUUGCUGGCAGGGCCAUCAUCACCUAUGUCAUGAACUGCUACUACAAGCCCUCAAGAGGAGGAGGUGAAGAUGGAGCGCAAUGGUGGCGGUCUUGGCCUUGCUCUCGCUAUUAUGGCUGCCAUCUGGCUUCUCUGCCGCAUCGUUGUUUUUGCCAGCAGCGGCGGCUCUUUGCUGUCGAUUGAUUGCAUGCGGCAUUCAAGGAGAUGCCUGGUGGCAGUUGUUGCCGAUGCAGCUAUGCGCCAUUGUCCUUUCAUUGCUCCACAUUGAUGGGCCCUCAGAGGUGGCCAAUUGUGGGUGACAGGUGGCCAUAAGCACAAUAGAAGGCACCACGCAGAGCUAGAAGAGGAUGCUGGCCGGCAGACCACCUCUCUUGCCGUCAAGGGCACCAUUCAGCCGCCUUUUUUUUUUUGCUUCAGAGGCUUCUUGUGCUGCUACAGUAACUGGAUGCUUUGAAGGAUUUGAAUGGAGUUCAUUCUAGGUGGGUGUGCAAAUCAGCAGCCUGCUGCCAUGUCUUUUCUUGCCGGAACCCCCCGCUGCUGGAUGCUCCCCUCCCGUCCUGGCACGGCAAGGCACAUCUGCCUCUUGUGUGAAGAGAGUCGCUGGGAGAAGACAACAAGGAUGACUCUGUCCAUAUUCCAGGUCGCUCUUCCUGCCGUGCCCUGCCUCAGUUCACGUUUGCAUCCUGAGGCGAUUUCUGAGCUAUCGGGUUCUUGAUUUCGUGCACAGGUGGGGAUUGCGUUGCCCUGUGGAACGGGUUCCCGUACCUCCUCUGUGCCGAGGCUGGUUGCUACCCCUGCUCGCGGCCGGCGGCUGCAAGGCACGAUCACACAAGAAAUCUAUGUUGAUUACAGGAAAGGCAUGCUCAUUUGUUCUCAGUACUGUUUUGAUUUUUCUACAAACAAUUGGCUUUGUACAGGUAAUUGAUAUAACCUACACAAUUGGGUUGUAUAAGAAUCAGGUUGCUACACUAUACUCCAGUGCCUUUCUGUUCAAUUUUCUGUUUGAUUACUGCAUCUUUCAUCUUUUCUAAUAUUAGGCGAUUAUGCUGGGUCAUUUGUGGCAUGCUCUUCUCUCUUUGCAUAGUGGAAAUACUUUUUGAUUACCAUUAGAAUAGGAGAUCACGCAAAGAUGUAUGCCAAGUUCUUAUUAUCAUCUAGCUAUUGGUUCCUAUCGAUAUUCAUGUCAAAUCUUGACAAGAUAUUUAUUGUUGUGAUUCAAGUAAGUAGGGGUGCAAAUUUAAAGCCAUCAUCUGGCCCUCCUUAGUUCAAAUAAAUGAACUAAAAUUUCAAGUUAAAUCAUGCAUUAUUUAAAUAGUUUCUACUUUGAGCUCUUCAAAUUUUAUGGAGAUACUCUCUCAAAUUUUGUUGUGUCCAGCAAGAAUGAAAAAAAAAUGUUCUUAACUGCAUUUUCUUCCUGCCUUUGAUUUCAGACAAUGUGCAUAUAUAUCUUAGGAUUCUCGAACCAGUGACAAUGUGGAAGGCACAUCCUUCGGUGCUUAGAUAUGCAACUUUUGAGUCUCUGCAGUGAAGAUUUCGCAGAACACGCAUUAGGGAUUAUCGACAUACAGAAAAUUGUCACAUCAUUACUAACUGCGGCAAAGAUUAGCAGCGAGUGCGAGGACGUCGUCCGAUGCUCGGGAAACGCUGCGGGAGUUCGCCUGUUCGGAGUUGUAGAGUGCAACCACGACCUCUUCCCUGCCAGCACCCGAUCUAGUGUCGUUCGUCCCACGACGGCGAGAUCCAGUUCCCCUGUGGCCUCUUCCUUCGGCCUUGGUUGACAAAAAGCAGUAAGAAAUCCUCACAUUUCCAAAUUUCUUUGCUACAAUUCAAUUACCUCUUCUCACCGUGCAAAUUUAAGAAACUCAACAACACAUUCUGAAGUGUUGUUUGUUGAUCAACUGGUUUAAUCAGUGCUGGCUUUGCGAGACUGUUGUCGUGUGAAAUUUUCAGAAGGAAAAAAUGCCUGUAGAUAUUGCUCUUCAAUCAUAUGACAAUAAACAUCAAUCUUCUCUUUUCUAUGCUGAAUGGUCAUUGCUGCUUGAUUUAGUGCGUUGCUGUGCAGUAAAUAUCAAGGCUUAAUUAGUAUAAGACUAAUAACAAUGGAAGAUCUAGAAGUUUCUAUCUCUGAACUUGCAGAGUUCUCCGAGCUUAGGAUAGCAAGACAUUGUCGAGGUUCACAAAGAGUAAAAGGCGACCUUACAUGAGCAUAACAAUAGCAGUACAAAUGCCAAAAGAAUUUGGCACACAAGUACAUAGUUACCACAACAAUAUUAGUACAUCAUAAAUGAUUGCUACGUCAUAAAACUCAGCGUCUAAGUUCCCCUCUCAGAACACACACAGUUAUAUUAUCCAGCAUAUCACUUCAGGAUGAACACACACAGGUUUGCUCAGUGUUAUCCAUCGGUUAGGGGCAUGCAUCCUUCUAUUCUGUAUCUUGAUAUACAGAAAGAAAUACUAUGUAUUGUUUACUCUUACUGAAUUGAUAAUGAGGUCUUAGCUGUAAUGUUAAUAUCCGUGAAAUCAAUAUCUAAGGUUGCUAUUCUUAAGAUUUAGUCGUUUCGUACUCCUAAUUUUGCACUGGGAUUUAAUGAACAUGAAUGCAGAAAAGGUUAACAUGCCUUGAACAUCUUUAUUUACUGAACAGAAAUAGACAAUUCAGUGUGAAAAUUUGGAUUUUGGAACACGCCUAUGCUUGAUAGGAUUUGUGUAUCUCACCCUUCCAAUGAAAUGAACUGUAUGGCAUCUAAAUUUCGACCCUCCGCCGCUAGAUCAUUUGCUGUGAAGAACUCUCCAGUAAGCGAUUGAAGUGUACACUGGAUAUUGGACUUCCAAUUGCGUGAUCCAUAUUGGUUGACUGAACACAUAAUUACCUUUUUUAUGUCCUGCAAAUAUGUGGUGUUUUGCAGAUUUAUGUUAACACAAGCUCACACCAUAUAUUUUCUAUGUACCUCUGUAUCCCAAUGGAAAAUGCAUUCUACAGAGCACUGUAACUUGGCAGUGCUUAUCUUUUCCUGAUUGACACAUGCAUUUCUUGAGAUGGACCAAAGCAGAACCUUGAUUCCGUAUAGUUUGCUUGCAUUCAGCUAACUUAAUAGCAGCGAACUAUCAAAUGAUUUCUGAACAAUAGUUAUUUGAUAUCAUUUUUGUUUUCUAUCACCAAUAAUGGUUGCUCCUCCGAUGCAUGUAGGCUAUAUCAUCAUUCAAGGAGAUUGUGGCAAAAUGAAGUGCGAUGCUAGAAACUUUCUCGUGAUACAAAAAACUCUGAAUCGUGGCAUUGUGUAGUGAAAAUAUGAAGAGGCUGGUACCAUUAUUAGUUUUUUACUGACCAGAAAAUUGUACUACCUCCGUAAACUAAUAUAAGAGCGUUUAGAAUACUAAAGUAGUAAUCUAAACACUCUUAUAUUAGUUUACAGAGGGAGUACUAUGUAUCUUCUAGGAUUGUUCUUGAUGCAUAUUUUGCUCAAGUUAAGUCUUUAUACCAUAUGAAUGGUUCUGCACACUCUCACUGCCAUAUCACUAAAAUUAUUUUUCCGUGUAAAUCAUUGGUCACACUUUUCUCAUAAUUCUACUCAGGUCAAAAUGUCGUAGAAAUUGUGUUUUCUGGUGUUUACGAGCAAGGAUGUCAGCAUUGUGGGUUGGGGCAUGGUUGGGCUUUGUCUUGGCGGAGUGGCUAUAUACUUUAGAGUUGUGUUGAGGGAUUUUUUUGCAUUAGCAAUUAAUAACUCAAGUAUAUUUUUAAAGAUGUUUCUUGCUUGGUGCUCUUCUUUGGUUUCUGAUCAGUUUGUGCCUGUUGUGUAGUGUGUAGGCUAUGUUCUAUUGGUUUGGACUGCCUUGAAUUGUUUGUUAUCGGAUAGAAAAUGCAACUCAGUACUCCAUUAUGUGUCACAACAGGUUUGGUAUAGACGUUUCAGGCUGACUCCUUACUUUUGCUUGCUCGAAGUUUAAGGUGCAUGCCACUUAAUUUUCUUCACGGGAGGAGGGUUGGCCAGAAGUAGGUGAGGUAAAAAAGUAGGCUCCAUCCCUGUUACAUCUGUUCAGACUACUGAAUUUGGUUCCCUUACUCAUUUCAGUUUCACUUGGUGUAUGUGAAGCAAUGCAAUUUACUUCCAUUGCUGCCAUCUUGCUUUUCGUGAGUUAAUUCUGUACAAUUAGUCAACAUUGUAGACGGUGGCCUGAUAGAGCGUUUUCUGUAAUGCAUGGUUAAAUAGCUUUUAGGUUGAUUUGAUAAGACAACUUUUUCUAAUGUCAGGCUUAGUUUACUUUUUGUAAGAGUAGGUUUGAACCAUGUAAAUAUGCUUUAACAACUGAAAUUUUGACACAUGACAUGUUUUUAUUUGUUAUAUUUUAAGCUUGAAACUCAAAUCUCAGCUAUUCCCUAAAUAUUUAAAUACUGAACCUUUUGUUUUCUACACUGCCAUGGUCUCCGUGGUAUUAUUUUGAUAGGCUCACAACCACUAAUUGCUAUUAUAUGAAAUGAUAAAUUAAUGUGGGCAGUCAUGACUAUUUUAUACAUCGAUGGUCUGAACUAGAAAUGUUUGACUGCGCGUUACACAUCAAGGAGGGGGUAUUCAUGUGUGUGGUCUGCAGUGGUAUAUCAGUUAAAGAUGUGCUAAUUUUGUUGUUAAUGCUUUGACAUGCUAUGAAAGUUUUCUGUAUGGCAAAGGACGUGUUCCUUACUUUCUCCUGUGUAUUUAUUUCAGAAGUUCUUCGAGCAUUUGUUUUUAACUUGUAGCUUAUAUUGACAGCCAUGGUAGAUUGAAGUAGUGGCAUGUAACUGAUUUCACAUUCUUCUAUGAAUAAUACCCGGACUGCUCUGUGCUAGAUACAUCCGCUUGAGCGACAAUUAGUUCCGGACGGAGGGAGUAUGUUUUUUGAAGACUGCUCUGUCUUUUUUCCUUCUAGUUACUGGCCAUAAGCCCUUAGCUAAUGCCAACUCUGCUGUAACAUGCCUAUUGACCACCAGAAACCACUUUGUUUUCUGUGUAUGCUGGCCAUUUCAGUGUAGUUGUUUGAUAUGCUGCCAACAACUUUUCCCUUUCUUCUUUCUUACUCCCUCGGUCCCAUAAUGUAGUGCACAUUGGUUUUCCUGAAAGUCAAGCUUCAAAAACAUUGACCAAAUUAUUGAGAAAAAUCUAAUAUGUUUCAUGAAAAUAUAUAUCAAAUAUAUAUCACAUGAAAAUAUAUUUCAUGAUGAAUCAAUUGCUUUUGAUUUCGUAUUUUGGAUGUUGAUAAUUUGUUUCUGUAUAUUUGGUCAAAGUUUACAAGGUUUGACUUAAAAAAAAUCUAAUAUGUACUAUAUUUUGGGACAGAGGGAGUGCUAUUUAGUUAUUUCCUCGAGCAAAUCGAUGCUUAUUUAUGCUAAUGCAUAUGUUGUUUUAGUUCUAGUUGUGUGCAUGGCAUAUUGUUUUUCUAGAAGAUGCAGUUCUGAAUUUUCUCAUGGGUCUAUGAAUCUAUUAUUGCAUGAACUGGUGAUAUGCGGUCAAGUUGACUGACACCAUUUGGCAUUUCUAGUGCUUGAGUUGACAAAUUCGAUGUAAUCAAAUAGUGUCCCUAGAACUUAAAAAGUCAUCUAUUUAUCUAGUGUAAGUGUUGUCCUUUCCUUUUUAUGUGCCGGAAUUCUUCUACAUUCUGAGCAUCAACACACUUUUAGAUAGUACACUGGCACUGCUGCACUGGUGAUUCUAUCUUCUUUAAUACUCCCUCUCUUCACUUUUAUAAGACGUUUUAGACAGUUUAGACAGCACCCAAAACAGUCCAAUGCCAGCUCUGAAACGUCUUAUAAAAAAGAACGGAGGGAGUAUGUGAUUUAUGCUUCUGAAAGUGUCCACUAGGUUUUAUUGCUUGAUGAAUUGAGUGUUGUUUUUUGAGGAAUUGACUGUUGUAUUUGCUUAUAGGUGCAAUAUUUUGUAUCAAAUUUACCUUUAACAAUCUGUUACUAACCUUGGUUUUCCUUUGUCUCUGUCCCUUUUUUCGUCCCCUCCAAUGAUGGUGCCUGGACUAUGACCUCUGCCUUUUCAUGUUUGAUUUUCCUCUGCUGCUGCUAGGUAUUGUUUUGGCUUUUGUUUAUACAGGGUGCAUACUCACAUAAUGCUCCUUGCUCUGAAACAUUUAGUUUGACGGCCAUAUUCUGUUUGUACAUGCAAUUAUUUCUAAUAUGUAAGCAUAUUUGUAGGAUCAUACAGUGGCAGACUACGCACUCUAUAGUUAGUAUAUUUACUUACAGUCUUGGAUACACUAAAUGAGAGCAAAGUUUGGAUGUGUCAUUGUCUGCACUCAUAUAGUUUCCUGAUGAAUAUGACGGAGCUACAUCUCUUUGACUGAAGAAAAUGAGGACCAAGCUCUCAAGACAGUUUUGUGUCUUCCACAGCAGGGCAAUUGCCUGAAAGAACCAUAACGUCAGUCCAUGCAUUCAGUUGUCUGUGCAGCAGCCUGCCAGCUGUCAUUUGAUUUGUAAUAACAUUAAUGUGGUCAUGUAGGUUACACAUGUACUAAGAACUGGUUGACUAUGUAUGACCAUCAGGUGAACUAAUAUUUCCUAUUAUUUGUU